GACGCUGGCGGCAGGCCUAAUCAUGCAAGUCGAGCGCGCCCUUCGGGGUGAGCGGCGGACGGGUUAGUAACGCGUGGGAACGUGCCCUUCUCUAAGGAAUAGCCACUGGAAACGGUGAGUAAUACCUUAUACGCCCCCCAAUCAAAUUCCAUUUGGUUGACGGAAAUUCUGUUGAAUGCCGGAUGGCAUUUGAUGGGGGGGAAAGAUUUAUCGGAGAAGGAUCGGCCCGCGUUAGAUUAGAUAGUUGGUGGGGUAAUGGCCUACCAAGUCUACGAUCUAUAGCUGGUUUUAGAGGAUGAUCAGCAACACUGGGACUGAGACACGGCCCAGACUCCUACGGGAGGCAGCAGUAGGGAAUCUUGGACAAUGGGCGCAAGCCUGAUCCAGCCAUGCCGCGUGAGUGAAGAAGCCUUAGGGUCGUAAAGCUCUUUCGCCUGUGAUGAUAAUGACAGUAGCAGGUAAAGAAACCCCGGUUACUCCGUGCCACAGCCGCGGUAUACCGA
rnacentral:rRNA from 1 species